ensembl:lncRNA
CGAGAUCAAGUGACAACGUCGUCCGCGAAGCACAAUUACUGCCUCUUGGCUAACUAGUGAAAAUGACAGCUUGUUGCUGCUCAAGCGAAACAUUUGCCGGCCGACAACUUUAUUUUAGCCUGACAGACGAAACAAGCCGGACAAUUAGUUGUAUAGUUAGCAUGGCAUUUUCCAUAUUUAAAUGAAAUCGGAAGAAACGCGAGAAAAUAACCAUCUAGUCAGCCGGCUACACAGCCACAGCAACGCCUGCAAGCAAACAUUUGAGCUCCACAGCUGAUGUGCUUGUCUGUCAAGUUAACACGACAGGGUUGCUGUUGUCAUCUAAAAGAUAUUACCAGCAUUUUACAGUAUAUGGACAACACAAAACUUAUAGCCACAGUGUAUUUCUUACUCACCUCGACAUCAUUAUCGCUUCAAAGAGCAAGGGCGUAUAACCUCGUAUCACCAAACAACACAGAAACAAUCUCUUCUAACAUCCGGUCCUAUCCAGUUUACAGAAACCAAUGAUGAGUGUCAGUCAUAAUGAGAAGGAUGUUAUCAUCACCUGUGAGAUUCCUCGACCUGCUGGUAAUGACACCACCUGUAAUCUGUAUGUUGGAGACCAGAGUCAACAUCUCCUGAAGACAAAGAUCUGGAAGAAAACAUCAUCCAGGUCCAAGACAUCAUUCUGUCUGUUCACUGUGACUGAAGAUGACCUGAUCAGACAUCUACAGUCAGUAGGGAGUCAGGAGGUGAGCUGUGACUACAGAGUGAGUUCAGGACCAAACUCUCUCUCUCCACGUAGUGACGGGUACAUUAUAACAAAUUUGCUAGCUAGUGCUGCUUUGAUCCCCAAAACCCCACUGAGGCCAACUACCAGUUCAACCUCUUAUUUGACCCCCACAGCAACUACAUCAGGUUGGACUGUUAGUGCUACUUUGACAAGUGACACCCCAAAGAGAACAAGUGAAGGUUUGACUGUUAGUUCUACUUUGACCACUGGUACCCCACAGAGUUCAACUGAAAGAGAUCAAAGUUCCCCAAAAAAUGAUGUGGAAGCCAACCAAGAGAGCAGUUUGGUGAUAUUAUGGCUUGCUGCAGUGGGUGUGGCUUCUGGAGUGGGUGUGUUCCUGGUGGGAUUGACAGUUGUUCGUCUCUGUAAGAAGACCAAAAGAAAGAAAUCUCAGAGACCUCCAGCCCAACAAGACAAUCAUGACCAACGUCCUGUUGGAGAGAAUGGAGAAUCAUCUGAAUAUGUCAAUUUUGAUACAUACCAGGAGUACUAUUCAAUCCAGCCUCAGCCCAAUGGCUUUCUGUAGAUAGUCUUCAAAGGUUUUAGUAUAGUUAAAUGUUCUAUUAUUAUUCUUUAUUCAAUCUCUUUGGAUUUGAAAUUGUCCACUUAUGUGCGAAAGUAUUAUCCAUAUUGGAUGAACAAUUUUAAAAUGACAAUGUUUUGUACAUAUUUCCUCCAUUAGGGUGCCAUAUGUAUUUCAACUGUUAUCUUCAAAACUGUUUCUUAUUAGAUUGUUUUUGAUUGCUUGUAUUAAAAGUGCAUAUCCAGCAG